CCCUAACGUUGCUAACCUGAGCUUCCUCCUGGUAUCCUCUCCAGGUCGUACGGGUUGUUGGUGAUGCCGUUCAGAUGGUUGUGGGUCUCGCACCACAUGCACAGCUCAGGGGUGUUGGUGACGCCCAUGGGGAUGGCCCCCGCUCUCUUCAGCAGGGCCACAGGAGGAGCGUCCACAGUGGCCACGACUCCUCUCCUGGAGAUCAGACCGGUAGUAAAGGGCAUGCCUGCAAGACGGAGAGGUGGUAAAAUGCUGAGCUGCAGCUUUAAAUCAAAACAAUGUUUAACUGUGCGCUUUCACUAUCAAAGGUUGACCCGAGGUUCUCUUAUUGAUGUAUGUAAUCAGAAUAUAAGAAUGCUGGAGGUUACCCUGGAGGGCGAAGGACUCCUUGACAGAGAGGGGGACUCCCAGUAAAGGAAGCCGGUCCUCCAGCACCUCCUCCCCCCCAGUCUCCUCCUCGAUCAGCUUGUCCACCUGGCUCGCCUCCUGGAGGGCGGCAUCAAACCUGGAUGCAGAAUAAAUAACCCAAAGCUGUUUAAUUUCUGAUCAUCCAAAAAAAUGAUAGCACAAGCACUGUAGAGGAGUACAAAGAAGGUUACACAAUAAACACAAAAGAUUAAAUAUCAGAAAAAAAAGAAUGGUUCAAUCUUGCCUGUCUUUUAUCACAGCGUUCAAAAAUGGGUUGACUUCCUGGAUCCUGUCGAUGUAAGCCCGCACCACCUCCACACUGGAAACCUGCAGAAACAGAAGGAAAUGUCCACACGGGUGCAAAAGUUCCACAACAGGAAAACAACACCCACUGUGAGAAUUGGGCCAAAUCUCCAUUGAAUUCCUACGGAUGAAGAAACAGGUUCAGCUGCUUACACAGAGAGGGGUGUGGACAUGUGCAGCGGUUGUCUCGCAGUUUGACCCCGGGAACACACCUCUUUCCUCCGGAUCUUCUUUGCCAGCUGCGUGGCGGAGGCAAGCAGCAGAGGGUCGCUGACGGGCGGCAGCUUCUUGCCGGACAUGGAGGUGCUCGCCUUGGGGGAAAAGAGUCGAAACAGCAUGAAGAGGAGCCCCAUGACCGCUUUGAAAAGCCACACCUGGGCCUUCUCCAGACGGCUCAGUGCCAUGUUUGCACCGCGCGGGCAGGACGGAGAGUCAGCGGUUGUUCGGCUGUGGUCACGCUGUCACACUCAGCACUGAACUCCACCUGUCACACAGCGGCACGAGGGGCUUUCUACUCCAUCCCAAAACUAUUUCCAAUGGAUGGCUCAGUUGAUAUGUUGGGCUUGGAAGAUCCAGAGAACUUAGUAGAUCUUAAAUCAAGAUAUUUAGUUGAUGCAUUUAUUUAAUUAGGCUACUUACUUGGGCUCAUACUACUCUAUCCUAGAAUAUUCCAUAAAAUGAAAUUGUGUGCAGUAGUAAAACACAUUUCAUACGACUUUUAUUUUGAAAGCGUCAUGGUCUGCAAAACGUAAUGUGACUAGUUUGAUGAUGACCUGAAUGUGCC